rnacentral:rRNA from 1 species
AACGUAGGACACGAGCGUUAUCCGGAGUUACUGGGCGUAAAGGGCGUGCAGGCGGUUUUGUAAGUUUGAUGUGAAAGCGCCCGGCUUAACCGGGCGAGGACAUUGGAGACUGCAAGACUAGAGGCAGAUAGAGGGGUGUAGAAUUCCACGUGUAGCAGUGAAAUGCGUAGAUAUGUGGAGGAAUACCGAUGGCGAAGGCAGCCUCCUGGGAUAACACUGACGCUCAUGCACGAAAGCGUGGGGAGCAAACAGG